AAAUGCGAUAAGUAAUGUGAAUUGCAGAAUUCAGUGAAUCAUCGAAUCUUUGAACGCACCUUGCGCUCCUUGGUAUUCCUUGGAGCAUGCCUGUUUGAGUAUCAUGGAAUCUUCAAAGUAAAUCUUUUGUUAACUCAAUUGGUUUCUACUUUGGUAUUGGAGGUCUUUGCAGCUUCACACCUGCUCCUCUUUGUUCAUUAGCUGGAUCUCAGUGUUAUGCUUGGUUCCACUCGGCGUGAUAAGUUAUCUAUCGCUGAGGACACUGUAAAAGGUGGCCAAGGUAAAUGCAGAUGAACCGCUUCUAAUAGUCCAUUGACUUGGACAAUACUUUUAUGAUCUGAUCUCAAAUCAGGUAGGACUACCCGCUGAACUUAAGC
rnacentral:misc_RNA from 1 species